rnacentral:rRNA from 1 species
AGCGAACGCUGGCGGCAGGCCUAACACAUGCAAGUCGAAUGAACUCUUCGGAGUUAGUGGCGGACGGGUGAGUAACACGUGGGAACGUGCCUUUAGGUUCGGAAUAACUCAGGGAAACUUGUGCUAAUACCGAAUGUGCCCUUCGGGGGAAAGAUUUAUCGCCUUUAGAGCGGCCCGCGUCUGAUUAGCUAGUUGGUGAGGUAAAGGCUCACCAAGGCUACGAUCAGUAGCUGGUCUGAGAGGAUGACCAGCCACAUUGGGACUGAGACACGGCCCAAACUCCUACGGGAGGCAGCAGUGGGGAAUCUUGCGCAAUGGGCGAAAGCCUGACGCAGCCAUGCCGCGUGGAUGAUGAAGGUCUUAGGAUUGUAAAAUCCUUUCACCGGUGAAGAUAAUGACUGUAGCCGGAGAAGAAGCCCCGGCUAACUUCGUGCCAGCCGCCGCGGUAA